rnacentral:rRNA from 1 species
CGGGUGAGUAACACGUGGGUAACCUGCCCUCCACUCUGGGAUAACUCCGGGAAACCGGGGCUAAUACCGGAUACGACCUGAGGCGGCAUCGCCUCGGGUGGAAAGUUUUUCGGUGGAGGAUGGACCCGCGGCCUAUCAGCUUGUUGGUGGGGUAACGGCCUACCAAGGCGAUGACGGGUAGCCGGCCUGAGAGGGCGACCGGCCACACUGGGACUGAGACACGGCCCAGACUCCUACGGGAGGCAGCAGUGGGGAAUAUUGCACAAUGGGCGAAAGCCUGAUGCAGCGACGCCGCGUGAGGGAUGACGGCCUUCGGGUUGUAAACCUCUUUCAGCAGGGACGAAGCGCAAGUGACUGUACCUGCAGAAGAAGCACCGGCUAACUACGUGCCAGCAGCCGCGGUAAUACGUAGGGUGCGAGCGUUGUCCGGAAUUAUUGGGCGUAAAGAGCUUGUAGGUGGCUCGUUGCGUCGGGAGUGAAAACCCGCGGCUUAACCGCGGGCCUGCUUCCGAUACGGGCGAGCUAGAGUUCGGCAGGGGAGACUGGAAUUCCUGGUGUAGCGGUGGAAUGCGCAGAUAUCAGGAGGAACACCGGUGGCGAAGGCGGGUCUCUGGGCUCGAUACUGACACUGAG